UUGAACAAAGAAGAUGGUUGGCAAAAUAUGAGUGAUCUUCAUUCUUUCUAUGCUAUAAAAUUUUGCAGGUUUGAUUUUUCGAUGAAAAAGAAAAAAAAAAGUCAGAAAUAGGAAAAUUCAGAGGUUACACUCAUUUUCAAUCAUUUCACGAACUUCAUUAAUGACUAUAUGAGCUUUGUGACCGCCAAUCACCUCAGACUGUUUCUUGCUAUCUUUCCACAGCUGUAUGGUAGGCAUUUUAGUGACUCCUGCAUAAGCAACAAGCUUAUGGGGAACAUUAUUGACAUCAACAC
rnacentral:misc_RNA from 1 species